rnacentral:lncRNA from 1 species
ACGUGCUUCAGAAGUCUUGUAUUGAAUUUUGACUGGAAUAACUUAGUCUAAAUUAGAGUCUAAAAGCCAUUUUAACCAAAUCUGAAGCACAGAGAACGGUUAAUGUGAAAGGAGGUGACAACACCCCUCAGUGGACAUCGCGGUUGGUGGUCAGUGCUGGGACCAAUCUCUUCAGGGCUGGAACAAGGACACACUGAAGGCAUUAUUUAAUCCCUGAGGAGAGACAGUGUCACCACAGAGAGGGAGAGGCGGCAAUGUUGGGAGUUGAAGCUGCUGUCCCAGUAUGCAGAGGACACCCCGAAGAAGCCACAAUAAAAGCAGGAGAAUCUGUUAGC